rnacentral:misc_RNA from 1 species
AAGUCGUAACAAGGUUUCCGUAGGUGAACCUGCGGAAGGAUCAUUAAAUAAUCAAUAAUUUUGGCUCGUCCAUUAUUAUCUAUUUACUGUGAACUGUAUUAUUACUUGACGCUUGAGGGAUGCUCCACUGCUAUAAGGAUAGGCGGUGGGGAUGUUAACCGAGUCAUAGUCAAGCUUAGGCUUGGUAUCCUAUUAUUAUUUACCAAAAGAAUUCAGAAUUAAUAUUGUAACAUAGACCUAAAAAAUCUAUAAAACAACUUUCAACAACGGAUCUCUUGGCUCUC